UACGUAGGGCGCAAGCGUUGUCCGGAAUUAUUGGGCGUAAAGAGCUCGUAGGCGGCUUGUCACGUCGGAUGUGAAAGCCCGGGGCUUAACUCCGGGUCUGCAUUCGAUACGGGCUGGCUAGAGUGUGGUAGGGGAGAUCGGAAUUCCUGGUGUAGCGGUGAGAUGCGCAGAUAUCAGGAGGAACACCGGUGGCGAAGGCGGAUCUCUGGGCCAUUACUGACGCUGAGGAGCGAAAGCGUGGGGAGCGAACAGG
rnacentral:rRNA from 1 species